rnacentral:rRNA from 1 species
UACAGAGGGUGCGAGCGUUGUUCGGAAUUAUUGGGCGUAAAGGGCGCGUAGGCGGUGCGGUAAGUCACCUGUGAAAUCUCCUGGCUCAACUGGGAGCUUGCAGGCGAAACUGCCGUGCUGGAGUGUGGGAGAGGUGCGUGGAAUUCCUGGUGUAGCGGUGAAAUGCGCAGAUAUCAGGAAGAACACCCGUGGCUAAGGCGGCUCUCUAGUACGGUACUGACGCUGAGACGCGAAAGCGUGGGGAGCGAACAGG